rnacentral:rRNA from 1 species
UAAUACGUAGGGGGCAAGCGUUGUUCGGAUUUACUGGGCGUAAAGGGCGCGUAGGCGGCGUGACAAGUCACUUGUGAAAUCUCCGGGCUUAACUCGGAACGGCCAAGUGAUACUGUUGUGCUAGAGUGCAGAAAGGGCAAUCGGAAUUCUUGGUGUAGCGGUGAAAUGCGUAGAUAUCAAGAGGAACACCUGAGGCGAAGGCGGGUUGCUAGGCUGACACUGACGCUGAGGCGCGAAAGCCAGGGGAGCAAACGGG